rnacentral:rRNA from 1 species
GACGAACGCUGGCGGCGUGCCUAAUACAUGCAAGUAGAACGCACAGUUUAUACCGUAGCUUGCUACACCAUAGACUGUGAGUUGCGAACGGGUGAGUAACGCGUAGGUAACCUGCCUGGUAGCGGGGGAUAACUAUUGGAAACGAUAGCUAAUACCGCAUAAUAUUGAUUAUUGCAUGAUAAUUGAUUGAAAGAUGCUAUUGCAUCACUACCAGAUGGACCUGCGUUGUAUUAGCUAGUAGGUGAGGUAACGGCUCACCUAGGCGACGAUACAUAGCCGACCUGAGAGGGUGAUCGGCCACACUGGGACUGAGACACGGCCCAGACUCCUACGGGAGGCAGCAGUAGGGAAUCUUCGGCAAUGGACGAAAGGCUGACCGAGCAACGCCGCGUGAGGGAAGAAGGUUUUCGGAUCGUAAAGCUCUGUUGUAAGGGAAGAACGGGUGUGAGAGUGGAAAGUUCACACUGUGACGGUAUCUUACCAGAAAGGGACGGCUAACUACGUG